GGCCAGGUGCGCCCGGCCCCGCGCUGCGGCCGCCGCCGGCUUAUAAAGGAGGCGGGCCGGGCCUGGCGGGUGGUGCGGUUGGGACGGUGAAUUGUUGCUGACUUUCCUCAGGCCCAGGACUUCAUCCCCUGCAGAUGUGAAGCUCCGGUUUCCGAGGGACGCAUGAGGAGAUGAGGUGCUCAGGUGCCUUUGCUGCUGGCCCAGGGCAGCACAGAGUUCUGCAAGGCAGGGAAGCCAGGAGCUGCCCAGGAAGCUCGGAAGCUCUGCUUGGAUAAGAGCGACUGCCUCAGGUAUGAGUCUCACUGCGGGGAACGCGCAUGGAGCAUUUAUUGCUGGGG
rnacentral:lncRNA from 1 species